AUCACCUGGAAAUCUUGUUAAAAUGCAGGUUUGGAUUCAGAAGGUCUGGAGUAGAACCUGAGAUUCUGCAUUUCUAACAGGUUCCCAGGUGACAAUGA
rnacentral:pre_miRNA from 1 species